GGCCUCAUAGCUCAGUUGGCUAGAGCGUUCCUUUUGCUGUCGUGGGUUCGAAUACCACCGAGGCUG
rnacentral:tRNA from 1 species